CCGGCCCCCAAGGCAAUAAAAAAAAUAAAAAGGAAAAAAAAAAAAGAAAGAAAAAUUUCCAUGCUCGCGUCAAGCCGUGGGAUUUUGGGUUUUGCACCAGGGAGGGAGGCGGCAGGGAAAGCCCCGGGAUGGAACCAGCGGGGGACACGGCAGGCAGAGCCAGGCCGCAAGCAGUGCCGGAGCGAGCCCCCCUCCUCCUCCUCCUCCUCCUCCUCCUCUUCCUCCUCCUCCUCCUCGCCGCUGCCUUGCGAAAGUGCUGAGCUCAGCACGGCUCCCGCGGCGCCCGAAAGCGUGCUUUCUCCUCCCAAAGCAGCUGCCCCAGCUCGGGAAGGCAAAGGAGCUGGAAAACGGGCCACGUCCCGUCCCCCCAAAACCAGACCCGAGCGCGACUGUGGAAAUUAUCCCAUUAUUGUGUUUUGGGGAUGGAAAACCAAAGUUUGGGGUCAAACGGGUCGCGGCCCCGAGGCCACUCGCUCCCCUCUGCGCCAGGCCCAAGAGCGGGGUGCGUUCGCGCCCGACACGGCUCUGGAUCACUGGGGUUUAACCCGGGCGCGUUUUCGGCGCUCCCUGCCAUCCUCUACCUCUUUUUUUUGCCUCUUUGACAUUUUUUCCACCCCCCCCCAAGGUUUUGACCCUAACGCCACCUCUUUGCUCCUGCGAGCGCACCUAUUUCAGCCCUUGCAACCGGCCCAGCCCCCAGACGACGUGUGUGCAAAUGACUUGGGGGGAGGGGGGGAAGGGGGGAAAAAAAGCGAAAAAAAAGCAAAAAAAACCAAAAAGACCCCCAAAAAGCAAAAAAAAGCAAAAAAAAAGCAAAAAGCAGAAAAGCAAAAAUAGCAAAAAAAAGAAAAAAGAAAAAAUCAAAAAGGUAAAAAAAAGCAAAAAAGCAAAAAAAGCAAAAAAAAAGAAAGCAAAAAAAGGCAAAAAAAAAGGGGGGGGGCAACAACCCGCGAGCCGGGUUUUGUUAAAAGCAGCGUGCCAAGCUCUGCCCCGGUGCUCCCG
rnacentral:lncRNA from 1 species